GCUGACUUUGAGAGAUGAGGGUUUGCUCUAGCACCUCCCAUUAUUUUUUAUUAUGAUGUAUAUUCUCGAAUCUGUGGAUGUUUACUGCAUGUGGCCAAUGUCGUAGCGGUUGGACAUCAUUCCAUAUUCAUUUGUUGCCGAGUUGUUUACCCUUUGGAGCCCAGAUUUUACGAUAAAAGGUUUUCGCUACGGAGCAAGAUGGCGUCGGCAGCAGAGACGGUGCAAAUAACGGUCGAUCUUCAAAGGACAAAAUGGU